rnacentral:rRNA from 1 species
CAGUAGCCGCGGUAAUACGAAGGGUGCAAGCGUUAAUCGGAAUUACUGGGCGUAAAGCGUGCGUAGGCGGUUUGUUAAGUCUGCUGUGAAAUCCCCGGGCUCAACCUGGGAAUGGCAGUGGAAACUGGCAAGCUAGAGUGUGUCAGAGGAUGGUGGAAUUCCCGGUGUAGCGGUGAAAUGCGUAGAGAUCGGGAGGAACAUCAGUGGCGAAGGCGGCCAUCUGGGACAACACUGACGCUGAGGCACGAAAGCGUGGGGAGCAAACAGGAUUAGAUACCCCAGUAGUCCCUGUCUCUUAUAC